rnacentral:rRNA from 1 species
UACGGAGGGUGCAAGCGUUGUUCGGAUUUACUGGGCGUAAAGCGCGCGCAGGUGGAUGGACAAGUCGGAAGUGAAAUCUUGAGGCUCAACCUCGAGGCUGCUCCCGAAACUGUUCGUCUAGGGACUGGUAGAGGCUGGUAGAAUUCCCGGUGUAGCGGUGGAAUGCGUAGAGAAUCGGGAAGAAUACCCGUGGCGAAGGCGGC